CGGGAGAGGCGGCGCCGGCGGAGUGCGUUUCCCACGGUGUGCGGUGUUUCCUGAGCGGCGUUGAGUUACAUGGCUUUUUAACUCAAGCACUGUCAAACAAAAUAAUGUCAGUGUUUGACGAUAUAAAACGAAGCAAAACGUGGACAAAAGGCUUUCAAAUAUUAGGAUCACUCUGCCGAAUCCAGACUCCAGCCGAAGACUCCAACCUGAGCUGUGCUUACUACUUUGACUGACUAAUAUGCACAGGGUAAACUGAAGAGGUCAGUGAUUGCAGAGAGCUGACUAGACCCCCUGAUGAUGCAGUUGUGUGUAUGAGUCCAGGCCAUUUCAGCAACAUCAACAGGAGACCUGCCCCUUUCUGUAAGAUACUUCAUCAAGCCUGA